AUCUAGUCUCUGUAUAUCUAUGGUCGGCACGUCUGGUAGCAUCUCUGGCUGCUGUUGACAUUGUUUUUGGAGUCAAAUACGGUGGAAGCUGAAUUAGUGAGGAUGACUCCUGCUCCUGUCAUCUCUAAGCUCCUCACACAUCUUUACCUGCACAUGAGGAAAAUCACUCCUGUAGAAUGCAGAUGUUCAGAGGGAGAUGAUGCCACAUCUGGUCCAGCUGAUGGAAGGUCUUGAAGUUCUCUGACUGGCCUCGACUGAAGAUAGUCGUCUCACUGGAUUUAAGGUUCAGAUGCUCAGUAACAAACUCCACCAAUGAGCCAACAGGGAAGCUUUAGGUUUAUUAAAUGUUGCUAUGAAGGUAUCGCUGUUUUUCUUUGUGAAUGCAAUGUGCUCCAACUGAAACUUGAAUUAGAACUUAGAAGUAAAUCCUUCCAUCUAAAAGGAUUUAGUUGCAUUAAUAACCUCAUAACAUUCUAAUUUUUAUUCCAGUCUUGGUUGGAAAUAGAAUCUCUGUAUUGAUUCAGGUAAAAACUAAACUUCACAGCAUGUUGGAGCAAAACAACCAGAUGAAAACUGUGAUGGUGUUGGAUUGUCAGACCAUAAUGUUGCAGCUCAAAGCAGCUUUUCUAGCUCAGUUCAUUCUGACAUUCAGCUAUGAAUCAACACAGCAGAUGGUGAUCCAUGCUGUGGAAGUCUCACAUCUCCUGAUUUAAUGGAGCUGCUUUGCACUUUUUACACUGUUUAUUCACCAACACUUUAUUUAAUAAAAGUCCCAUCAAGUUUUCAUGAGGAAUGUGAUGUUUUAAUUUCUCUGUGAAUAACUGCAGUCUAAUGCAACAGCUGGAGUUGUAACAUCUGUCCUGAUAUUGAUCAUGAAGUAUUGAUCAGAAUACUUACGGUCAGCAGUCAUCCCUGAAGUUUUACAUUAAAAUCUUUACCUG
ensembl:lncRNA